rnacentral:rRNA from 1 species
GACGAACGCUGGCGGCGUGCUUAACACAUGCAAGUCGAACGGAAAGGCCCUGCUUUUGCGGGGUGCUCGAGUGGCGAACGGGUGAGUAAAACGUGAGUAAAAUGCACUUGACUUUGGGAUAAAUUCAGGGAACUGGGGCUAAUACCGGAUAUGAGCUCCUGCUGCAUAGGGGGGGUUGGAGAGUUUCGGCGGUUUGGGAUGGACUCGCGGCUUAUCAGCUUGUUUGGGGGGUAGUGGUUUACCAAGGCUUUGACGGGUAGCCGGCCUGGGAGCGUGGACGGCGACCUGGGGACUGCGAUACGGCCCAGACGCGUACGGUACGCAGCAGGCGGGAACAUUGCACAAUGGGCCGACGCCUGUUGCAGCAAUGUUCCGUGCGUGAUGCCCUCCUUCGGGUGGUAAACCGCUUUCGCCGUUGACGAAGACUGAUUGACGGUAAUGGGUAAAGAAGCACCGGCUAACUACGUG